GUUUGCACUUGAGACAGAGUUUAUAUCAUUUAUCGUAUGGAGUGCAACAGGAUGCUUAAAUAUAAUAUUCUAGUUUCUAGUUAUAACAUUUCUCAAUAGCUGUCUGUCGAUAUAAUCUACCCUCUAGUCCAAUUUCUUCCUAUGUUACAGCCAUUACUUAGCUGGAAUGAGUAAUAUUAUGUGUUGGGCACAAGAACUCUUUUACUAUGGAAGAAUAUCCAAGAGAAAACUUUCGUGAUAGUAGUAUUAAAACUUCAUUUUCUAAUAAUUGAGAGAUCUCAAGUUAUACUGUAAGGUUUCAUAUUUGAUAAUGACAAAGGUGUUGCAUGAAGCUUUAUAAUAAGUAUUGAUUUAUAUCCAUCCAGUACACUUCUGCUAUUUUCUUUCCAGGGAAUUCACUCAAUGGAAGAGUAACUUGACAGUUGAACCUGAGGAUGUGGAAGCAACAUUGGAUCAGCUGAUAUAUGGCAAGGAGAUGCUGAGUAAGAUUCUAGAAAUAUCUGCAACCGAAAAGCCAUUCUGAAUUGGAGAUGCACAGAGGGAGAGUUCUCAGGGAUGGUUCCUGGAUGCACUAAAAUGGGCAGACAAGCUUGGGGUUGCUGCACAGAUGGGAGUGCAGGCCAUCAUGUGGCAGCCUGACCUCCAUGGACUCUUUACACCUACACUAGACUAUUGGGUCUCGCUGGUACAUAAGGCCGUGGUUGGGAGAGUUGUUUUUGAUGUGAAGCAAAGCUACACCACCAACAGUCACAUUCAUAUGUUCUGCCAUUGU